rnacentral:rRNA from 1 species
GCCUAACACAUGCAAGUCGAGCGGUAGCACAGGAGGCUUGCUCCUGGGUGACGAGCGGCGGACGGGUGAGUAAUGUCUGGGAAACUGCCUGAUGGAGGGGGAUAACUACUGGAAACGGUAGCUAAUACCGCAUAACGUCGCAAGACCAAAGAGGGGGACCUUCGGGCCUCUUGCCAUCAGAUGUGCCCAGAUGGGAUUAGCUAGUAGGUGGGGUAACGGCUCACCUAGGCGACGAUCCCUAGCUGGUCUGAGAGGAUGACCAGCCACACUGGAACUGAGACACGGUCCAGACUCCUACGGGAGGCAGCAGUGGGGAAUAUUGCACAAUGGGCGCAAGCCUGAUGCAGCCAUGCCGCGUGUAUGAAGAAGGCCUUCGGGUUGUAAAGUACUUUCAGCGGGGAGGAAGGCGAUAAGGUUAAUAACCUUGUCGAUUGACGUUACCCGCAGAAGAAGCACCGGCUAACUCCGUGCCAGCAGCCGCGGUAAUACGGAGGGUGCAAGCGUUAAUCGGAAUUACUGGGCGUAAAGCGCACGCAGGCGGUCUGUCAAGUCGGAUGUGAAAUCCCCGGGCUCAACCUGGGAACUGCAUUCGAAACUGGGAGGCUAGAGUCUUGUAGAGGGGGGUA